AGGACGAACGCUGGCGGCGUGCUUAACACAUGCAAGUCGAACGAGGCCCUGCCUUCGGGCAGGUGACCUAGUGGCGAACGGGUGAGUAACACGUGGGCAACCUACCCUCAGCUCUGGGAUAACCCCGGGAAACCGGAAUUAAUACCGGAUAUGACCACGGCCGACAUCGGCCACGGUGGAAAGAUUCAUCGGCUAGGGAUGGGCUCGCGGCCUAUCAGCUUGUUGGUGGGGUAACAGCCUACCAAGGCGACGACGGGUA
rnacentral:rRNA from 1 species